rnacentral:rRNA from 1 species
GACGAACGCUGGCGGCGUGCCUAAUACAUGCAAGUCGAGCGGACGUUUUUGAAGCUUGCUUCAAAAACGUUAGCGGCGGACGGGUGAGUAACACGUGGGCAACCUGCCUUAUCGACUGGGAUAACUCCGGGAAAACGGGGCUAAUACCGGAUAACAUCUAGCAACUCCUGGUGCCAGGUUAAAGUCGGGCCUUCGGGCUCCCACGCUGGGAUGGGCCCGCGGAGCAUUAGCUAGUUGGGGAGGUAAUGGCGCCCCAAGGCGACGAUGGCGUAGCCGACCUGAGAGGGUGAUCGGCCACACUGGGACUGAGACACGGCCCAGACUCCUACGGGAGGCAGCAGUAGGGAAUCUUCCGCAAUGGACGAAAGUCUGACGGAGCAACGCCGCGUGAGUGAUGAAGGGUUUCGGCUCGUAAAGCUCUGUUAUGAGGGAAGAACACGUACCGUUCGAAUAGGGCGGUACCUUGACGGUACCUCAUCAGAAAGCCACGGCUAACUACGUGCCAGCAGCCGCCGUAA